UACGGAGGGGGCGAGCGUUGUUCGGAAUUAUUGGGCGUAAAGAGCGCGUAGGCGGCUUGUCGAGUCAGAAGUGAAAGCCUCGGGCUUAACCCGGGAACUGCUUUUGAAACUGGCAGGCUUGAGUCCGGCAGAGGGUGGUGGAAUUCCCCGUGUAGAGGUGAAAUUCGUAGAUAUGGGGAGGAAGACCAGAGGCGAAGGCGGCCACCUGGACCGGUACUGACGCUGAGGCGCGAGAGCGUGGGGAGCGAACAGG
rnacentral:rRNA from 1 species